CGACGUGGAUAACCUGCCUCACACUGGGGGAUAACAGUUAGAAAUGACUGCUAAUACCGCAUAAGCGCACAGUGCCGCAUGGCAGUGUGUGAAGAACUCCGGUGGUGUGAGAUGGAUCCGCGUCUGAUUAGCCAGUUGGCGGGGUAACGGCCCACCAAAGCGACGAUCAGUAGCCGACCUGAGAGGGUGACCGGCCACAUUGGGACUGAGACACGGCCCAA
rnacentral:rRNA from 1 species